rnacentral:rRNA from 1 species
AGAGUUUGAUCCUGGCUCAGGACGAACGCUGGCGGCGUGCCUAACACAUGCAAGUCGAGCGAUGAAGCCCUUCGGGGUGGAUUAGCGGCGGACGGGUGAGUAACACGUGGGUAACCUGCCUCAAAGAGGGGGAUAGCCUCCCGAAAGGGAGAUUAAUACCGCAUAACAUUAGUUUUUCGCAUGAAGGACUAAUUAAAGGAGUAAUCCGCUUUGAGAUGGACCCGCGGCGCAUUAGCUAGUUGGUGAGGUAAAGGCUCACCAAGGCGACGAUGCGUAGCCGACCUGAGAGGGUGAUCGGCCACAUUGGAACUGAGAUACGGUCCAGACUCCUACGGGAGGCAGCAGUGGGGAAUAUUGCACAAUGGGCGAAAGCCUGAUGCAGCAACGCCGCGUGAGUGAUGAAGGCCUUCGGGUUGUAAAGCUCUGUCUUUGGGGACGAUAAUGACGGUACCCAAGGAGGAAGCCACGGCUAACUACGUGCCAGCAGCCGCGGUAAUACGUAGGUGGCAAGCGUUGUCCGGAUUUACUGGGCGUAAAGGAUGCGUAGGCGGAUAUUUAAGUGAGAUGUGAAAUUCCCGGGCUUAACUUGGGAGCUGCAUUUCAAACUGGAUAUCUAGAGUGUGGGAGAGGAGAAUGGAAUUCCUAGUGUAGCGGUGAAAUGCGUAGAGAUUAGGAAGAACACCAGUGGCGAAGGCGAUUCUCUGGACCAUAACUGACGCUGAGGCAUGAAAGCGUGGGUAGCAAACAGGAUUAGAUACCCUGGUAGUCCACGCCGUAAACGAUGAGUACUAGGUGUAGGAGGGUCCACCUUCUGUGCCGCAGUUAACACAAUAAGUACUCCGCCUGGGAAGUACGAUCGCAAGAUUAAA